GAUGAACGCUAGCGGCAGGCUUAAUACAUGCAAGUCGAGGGGCAGCACGAAUAGCAAUAUUUGGUGGCGACCGGCAAACGGGUGCGGAACACGUACAGAACCUUCCUUCGAGCGGGGAAUAGCCCGAAGAAAUUCGGAUUAAUACCCCAUAGUAAAUUGAAAAGGCAUCUUUUUAAUUUAAAGUAUUAUCACUUGAAGAUGGCUGUGCGCCUGAUUAGGUAGUUGGCGGGGUAACGGCCCACCAAGCCUGCGAUCAGUAACUGGUGUGAGAGCACGACCAGUCACACGGGCACUGAGACACGGGCCCGACUCCUACGGGAGGCAGCAGUAAGGAAUAUUGGUCAAUGGACGCAAGUCUGAACCAGCCAUGCCGCGUGGAGGAUGAAGGUCCUCUGGAUUAGUU
rnacentral:rRNA from 1 species